GUCUCUGUAGCGCAAUGGAUGGCGCUUUGGAUUUCAAAUCAAAAGGUCGUGGGCUCGAGUCCCAUCUGGGAUG